GAUGAACGCUGGCGGCGUGCCUAAUACAUGCAAGUCGAACGAACGGACGCGGCUCUUGCGGCGCUGAUGUUAGCGGCAGGCGGGAGUGUCACACGUGUAUCCCCUCCCUGUCAUACUGGGAUCACUUGGGAACACCGGCGCUUAUCGGAUAGAAUCUUUUGAUCCACGUGGUUCAUAGGUGAGAUUCGGUCUUUCGGUCUGUUAUCGCGGGAUCCGCGCUGAAUUGGCGAGUUGGUGAGGUAACGGCUUACCAAGGCAACGAUGCAUAGCAGACCUGAGAGGGGGAUCGGCCACAAUGGAACUGAGAGACGGUCCAGAAUCCUACGGGAGGCAGCAGUAGGGAAUCUUCCGCAAUGGGCGAAAGCCUGACGGAGCAACGCCGCGUGAGUGAUGAAGGUCUUCGGAUCGUAAAACUCUGUGAUUAGGGAAGAACAUAUGUGUAAGUAACUGUGCACAUCUUGACGGUACCUAAUCAGAAAGCCACGGCUAACGACGUG
rnacentral:rRNA from 1 species